rnacentral:ncRNA from 20 species
GGAAUGCAUUGUUGAUAUUCUUCGUUAAAAAAUAAUGCAUUAAACUGACUGAUCAUCCAUAUUAUUGUAAAGGAGGUAUGUAACAUGGCAGGCGAUAUCGUAGGUACAAUCGGUGACUUCGUUAAAUUAAUCAUCGAAACUGUAAACAAAUUCACUAACAAAUAAUCCCUUUGUUUUAUUGUCCUUUGAGUAUAAGCACUAAAUUGUUUAAUCCUUUUCAGGAGGAAAUGUUUGUCCUUGCAUUUCCUUCUGGUCCUUAUUAUUUGUACGCCGGAUAGAAAAUUUGGUGUACAUAUUAGAAUAAUAAAUUAUCGUGAGCAUCAUUAAAAUUUAUCAAAUAUCGGUAAAUUCACUAAAAUUUUUCAUAAUUAAUAACAUCCCCAAAAAUAGAUAGAAAAAUAACUGUAAACAUUCCCUUAAUAAUAAGUUUAAUAGCCCGUGAGUUCCUCCCAAACUCACGGGCAU